rnacentral:rRNA from 1 species
UCCAGACUCCUACGGGAGGCAGCAGUGGGGAAUAUUGCACAAUGGGGGGAACCCUGAUGCAGCGACGCCGCGUGGGUGAAGGAGCGUUUCGGCGCGUAAAGCCCUAUCGGCAGGGAAGAAGGAGGACGGUACCUGACUAAGAAGCCCCGGCUAACUACGUGCCAGCAGCCGCGGUAAUACGUAGGGGGCAAGCGUUAUCCGGAUUUACUGGGUGUAAAGGGGGCGCAGACGGCAGCGCAAGCCAGGAGUGAAAGCCCGGGGCCCAACCCCGGGACUGCUCUUGGAACUGCGCGGCUGGAGUGCAGGAGGGGCAGGCGGAAUUCCUGGUGUAGCGGUGAAAUGCGUAGAUAUCAGGAGGAACACCGGUGGCGAAGGCGGCCUGCUGGACUGCGACUGACGUUGAGGCCCGAAAGUGUGGGGAGCAAACAGGAUUAGAUACCCUGGUA